rnacentral:rRNA from 1 species
AGAGUUUGAUCCUGGCUCAGGAUGAACGCUAGCUACAGGCUUAACACAUGCAAGUCGAGGGGCAGCAUGGUCUUAGCUUGCUAAGGCCGAUGGCGACCGGCGCACGGGUGAGUAACACGUAUCCAACCUGCCGUCUACUCUUGGACAGCCUUCUGAAAGGAAGAUUAAUACAAGAUGGCAUCAUGAGUCCACAUGUUCACAUGAUUAAAGGUAUUCCGGUAGACGAUGGGGAUGCGUUCCAUUAGAUAGUAGGCGGGGUAACGGCCCACCUAGUCUUCGAUGGAUAGGGGUUCUGAGAGGAAGGUCCCCCACAUUGGAACUGAGACACGGUCCAAACUCCUACGGGAGGCAGCAGUGAGGAAUAUUGGUCAAUGGGCGAGAGCCUGAACCAGCCAAGUAGCGUGAAGGAUGACUGCCCUAUGGGUUGUAAACUUCUUUUAUAAAGGAAUAAAGUCGGGUAUGCAUACCCGUUUGCAUGUACUUUAUGAAUAAGGAUCGGCUAACUCCGUGCCAGCAGCCGCGGUAAUACGGAGGAUCCGAGCGUUAUCCGGAUUUAUUGGGUUUAAAGGGAGCGUAGAUGGAUGUUUAAGUCAGUUGUGAAAGUUUGCGGCUCAACCGUAAAAUUGCAGUUGAUACUGGAUAUCUUGAGUGCAGUUGAGGCAGGCGGAAUUCGUGGUGUAGCGGUGAAAUGCUUAGAUAUCACGAAGAACUCCGAUUGCGAAGGCAGCCUGCUAAGCUGCAACUGACAUUGAGGCUCGAAAGUGUGGGUAUCAAACAGGAUUAGAUACCCUGGUAGUCCACACGGUAAACGAUGAAUACUCGCUGUUUGCGAUAUACUGCAAGCGGCCAAGCGAAAGCGUUAAGUAUUCCACCUGGGGAGUACGCCGGCAACGGUGAAACUCAAAGGAAUUGACGGGGGCCCGCACAAGCGGAGGAACAUGUGGUUUAAUUCGAUGAUACGCGAGGAACCUUACCCGGGCUUAAAUUGCAGAUGAAUUACGGUGAAAGCCGUAAGCCGCAAGGCAUCUGUGAAGGUGCUGCAUGGUUGUCGUCAGCUCGUGCCGUGAGGUGUCGGCUUAAGUGCCAUAACGAGCGCAACCCUUGUUGUCAGUUACUAACAGGUUCUGCUGAGGACUCUGACAAGACUGCCAUCGUAAGAUGUGAGGAAGGUGGGGAUGACGUCAAAUCAGCACGGCCCUUACGUCCGGGGCUACACACGUGUUACAAUGGGGGGUACAGAGGGCCGCUACCACGCGAGUGGAUGCCAAUCCCAAAAACCUCUCUCAGUUCGGACUGGAGUCUGCAACCCGACUCCACGAAGCUGGAUUCGCUAGUAAUCGCGCAUCAGCCACGGCGCGGUGAAUACGUUCCCGGGCCUUGCACUCACAGCCCGUCAAG